UUUGGUCAAGCUAUUAAGAGCACAUGGUGGAUGCCUAGGCGUCUAGAGGCGAUGAAGGACGUGUCCAGCUGCGAUAAGCUUCGGGGAGCUGCCAAGAGAGCUUUGAUCCGAAGAUUUCCGAAUGAGGAAACUCUCAUCGGGUCAUACCGAUGAAUCCCGAGAUUGAAUACAUAGAUUUCGGGAAGUAAACUCCGGGAACUGAAACAUCUCAUGUACCGGAAGGAAAAGAAAUCAACGAGAUUCCCCGAGUAGUGGCGAGCGAAAGGGGAAGAGCCUAAACUUGCUCCACUUCGGUGGGGUGAGGGUUGCGGGACCUCAAUAUGGGACCAACAAGAGUAGAUGAACGGCAUGGGAAGGCCGGCCACAGAGCGUGAUAGCCGCGUAAUCAACAUUUGAGUUGGCCCUAGAGGUAUCCCAAGUACCACGGGACACGAGAAAUCCUGUGGGAAUCUGGGGAGACCAUUCUCCAAGGCUAAAUACUCCUAGACGACCGAUAGUGAACUAGUACCGUGAGGGAAAGGUGGGAAGAACCCCGAAAGGGGAGGUCAGUGAACCUGAAACCAUGUGCUUACAAGCAGUCAGAGCACUAUGCCCCGCCGCAAGGCGGGAUAGGUGUGAUGGCGUGCCUUUUGCAUAAUGAGCCAGUGAGUUACUGUCGCAUGCAAGGUUAAUCCCUUAAGGGGAGAAGCCGUAGCGAAAGCGAGUCCGAAAUGGGCGAAUUAGUAUGCGGUAGUAGACCCGAAACCAGUUGCGAUCUAUCCAUGGCCAGGGUGAAGUCUUGGUAACACAAGAUGGAGGCCCGAACUGGUGGACGUUGAAAAGUCCUCGGAUGAGUUGUGGAUAGGAGUGAAAGGCUAAUCAAGCCUGGAGAUAGCUGGUUCUCCUCGAAAUAUAUUGAGGUAUAGCCUCAUGUUAAUACUGUCGGAGGUAGAGCACUGGAUGGACUAGAGGUCUUACCGGACUAUCAAACCCAACCAAACUCCGAAUGCCGACAAGUUCUGCAUGGGAGGCAGACCGUAGGGGAUAAGCUCUAUGGUCGAGAGGGAAAAAGCCCAGACCGUCAGCUAAGGUCCCAAAAUCAUACUUAAGUGGUUAAGGAUGUGGAAGCGCACAGACAACCAGGAGGUUGGCUUAGAAGCAGCCAUCCUUUAAAGAAAGCGUAACAGCUCACUGGUCAAGUGAGUCUGCGCCGAAAAUGUAA
rnacentral:rRNA from 1 species